rnacentral:rRNA from 1 species
AUUGAACGCUGGCGGCAGGCCUAACACAUGCAAGUCGAGCGGAGUUUUCGGACCUAGCGGCGGACGGGUGAGUAAUGCGUAGGAAGCUGCCCGAUAGAGGGGGAUACCAGUUGGAAACGACUGUUAAUACCGCAUAAUGUCUACGGACCAAAGUGUGGGACCUUCGGGCCAAAUGCUAUCAGAUGCGCCUACGUGGGAUUAGCUAGUUGGUGAGGUAAUGGCUCACCAAGGCGAGGAACUCUAGCUGGCUUGAGAGGAUGAUCAGCCACACUGGAACUGGGACAAAGUCCAGACUCCUACGGGAGGCGGCAGUGGGGAAUAUUGGACAAUGGGCGCAAGCCGGAUCCAGCCAUGCCGCGUGUGUGAAGAAGGCCUUCGGGUUGUAAAGCACUUUCAGCGAGGAGGAAGGGUGGUGUGUUAAUAGCACAUCAUUUUGACGUUACUCGCAGAAGAAGCACCGGCUAACUCUGUGCCAGCCGCCGCUGUAAGAC